UGUGAACUGCAGGACACAUGAACAUCGACACUUCGAGCGCACAUUGCGGUCCUUGGAUUUCCAAUCCCGGACCACGCCUGGCUGAGGGUCGGCCAAACUACUCCUGGGCGCGAUCGCUCUUCUUGCGUCGCGCCCGAUGUUGGGGGCACGGGAGAGGAUAUACGUCUCCUCUCUCGGCGCCCUUUGAGGCAAGAUAGUUCCGAGCGGCCGCCGCCGGGCUUGAGAGAUACUUGAUGCCCGGCCUGCAGCGGCCGCCACUGAGAACGGCAAAAAGAAAAUUUAAAAUCCGACCUCAGAUCAGGCGAGACUACCCCCUAAAUUUAAGCAU
rnacentral:rRNA from 1 species